rnacentral:rRNA from 1 species
AUUGAACGCUGGCGGCAUGCUUUACACAUGCAAGUCGAACGGUAACAGGCCGCAAGGUGCUGACGAGUGGCGAACGGGUGAGUAAUGCAUCGGAACGUGCCCAGUCGUGGGGGAUAACGCAGCGAAAGCUGCGCUAAUACCGCAUACGAUCUAUGGAUGAAAGCGGGGGACCGUAAGGCCUCGCGCGAUUGGAGCGGCCGAUGUCAGAGUAGGUAUGUGGUGGGGGAAAGGCUCACCAAGCCAACGAGCUGUAGCUGGUCUGAGAGGACGACCAGCAACACUUGAACUGAGACACGUCCCAGACUCCAACGGGAGGCAGCGGUGGGGAAUUUUGGACAAUGGGCGCAAGCCUGAUCCAGCAAUGCCGCGUGCAGGAAGAAGGCCUUCGGGUUGUAAACUGCUUUUGUACGGAACGAAACGGUCUGGGUUAAUACCUCGGGCUAAUGACGGUACCGUAAGAAUAAGCACCGGCUAACUACGUGCCAGCAGCCGCCGUAACAC